UACGAAGGGGGCUAGCGUUGUUCGGAAUUACUGGGCGUAAAGCGCGCGCAGGCGGCCAUUCAAGUCAGGGGUGAAAGCCCAGAGCUCAACUCCAGAACUGCCUUUGAUACUGAAGAUCUUGAGUUCGGGAGAGGUGAGUGGAACUGCGAGUGUAGAGGUGAAAUUCGUAGAUAUUCGCAAGAACACCAGUGGCGAAGGGCGGCUCACUGGCCCGAUACUGACGCUGAGGCACGAAGCGUGGGGA
rnacentral:rRNA from 1 species